GGCAGCCGCGGCGGGCCGGGCGCGCACUCUCGGGAUGGAGGGCGAGCGCCUGGCAUCUCCGGCGCGCUCCUCCGGCCUCCCGGCUGGGGGCGCCGGUGGGGAAAGCCCGGGGGUCGACGCCCCCCUCCUGGGCAGCAGCGGCUCCUCCACCCUGCUCCAGGCCGAGGUGCUGGAUCUGGACGAGGACGAGGACGACCUGGAGGUGUUCAGUAAGGAUGCCUCGUUGAUGGACAUGAAUUCCUUCAGCCCUAUGAUGCCAACGUCCCCUCUAUCAAUGAUUAACCAAAUCAAGUUUGAAGAUGAGCCAGAUUUGAAAGAUCUUUUCAUUACAGUUGAUGAACCUGAAAGCCAUGUUACCACAAUUGAAACUUUCAUUACUUACAGGAUUAUUACUAAGACAUCUCGUGGGGAAUUUGACUCCAGCGAAUUUGAAGUUAGGAGACGUUAUCAAGAUUUCCUUUGGUUGAAAGGAAAACUUGAAGAAGCACACCCCACUCUGAUUAUUCCACCAUUGCCUGAGAAGUUUAUCGUGAAAGGUAUGGUGGAACGCUUUAAUGAUGACUUCAUUGAAACACGAAGGAAGGCGCUACAUAAGUUCCUGAACCGAAUUGCUGAUCACCCGACUCUAACAUUUAAUGAAGACUUCAAAGUAUUUCUUACUGCACAAGCUUGGGAGCUCUCUUCUCACAAGAAACAAGGGCCUGGAUUACUCAGCAGGAUGGGGCAGACAGUCAGAGCCGUUGCACUGUCAAUGAGAGGAGUAAAAAGCCGCCCAGAAGAGUUCAUGGAAAUGAAUAACUUUAUUGAAGUUUUUAGCCAGAAAAUAAAUUUGAUAGACAAAAUAUCUCAGAGAAUUUACAAGGAAGAAAGGGAAUAUUCUGAUGAAAUGAAAGAAUAUGGCCCAAUUCAUAUUCUGUGGUCAGCGUCAGAAGAAGAUCUGGUUGAUACUCUAAAAGGGAUUGCCAGCUGCAUUGACAAAUGCUCUAAGGCCACUGAAAAACGGAUGUCUGGACUCUCAGAGGCCCUGCUUCCUGUAGUACAUGAGUAUGUGCUUUAUAGUGAAAUGUUAAUGGGUGUUAUGAAAAGGAGAGACCAAAUACAAGCAGAACUGGAUUCCAAAGUGGAAGCUUUGACCUAUAAAAAGGCAGAUACUGAUCUGCUUACAGAAGAGAUUGGAAAACUUGAAGAUAAAGUUGAAUGCGCUAAUAAUGCCCUGAAAGCAGACUGGGAAAGAUGGAGACAUAAUAUGCAAAAUGAUAUCAAGUCAGCAUUUACAGAUAUGGCUGAGGAGAAUAUCCAGUAUUAUGAACAGAUAAGAAACCGAGGCCUGGAGAAAUCAAACAGCUUAUAUGAUCUCACGUGACCAUCAGUGUGAUUCACAUCAAAGGCAACCUGAUGCUCAGACUCUUUCUAAACAAAUUUACUGGGAGAUCCAGUGCAUAGACUCAGGUCAAUAUUCAAUUUGUCUACUAAGCAAUUAACAUGGAGUAGGCAUUGCAAUAGGCAGAGGACACUGGGGUCCUAAUGGAAUCCAGAGCCACAGGCAGAAGGAGUCUAGUUCCCUGAAUCACCGCAUAAAGGAAAGAUACACCUGCCAAACAGGAACAGCCACCUUGGACUUUUGCUUGACCUCACAGUACAUAAAGGUAUUGAGAUCUGCAGCAAAGACUCAGUUUCACUUGAACUCAAUGUUUUCCAGCACAAUGGCAUGAAACUCCAGCAUUUCAUGAGUCAUACAAGUAAAUGUUAGCAAAAGAAGAAAUUUAGGAGAAGCAGAGAAAUGAAAGAAAAUGGAACUCAAUAAAAUGUUAAUGCACAUAAACUCUCCUUCCAACCAUCAUGGCCCAGCAUG